rnacentral:lncRNA from 10 species
GCUGCCAUGUACUAGGCCACGUGGCAAGGGCCUGGUUGGGGACCUCCAGGGGUUGAGAGCAUCCUCUGGACAACAUGGAAAAAGAAAAUGAAAAUGGUGACCUCAGCCCUAUAGCUAGAAGGAAUUGAAUCCUGUCAACAACGAUGGCCGCCAUGUAAACGUUCUUUGCUCCUGCUUCGUCUUCUGCCGUGAUUGUGAGGCCUCCCCAGCCAUGUGGAACUGAGGAGACACCAGGGAUGACACACACAGAGGAAAAGCCACGUGUGGACACCGUUUAUUUCCUGUAUAACUCUUACUACACUAAUUUCUUACUUUCCUGUUGAUUUUUUAAGCUAUAGUUAAAAUACAUAGGGAAGGGCUUCAAGAUGGCUGACUAAAGGCACCUAGCACUCGCCUCCUCUGGAAAAAAGGACCAAAACAGAACAGGCUAUUGGGUUUGGAGUGAAUUCUCAGAAACAUCACUACUGACAUAACUCCAUAAAGAAUUCAUAAUUUCUACUCACAUGUUUUACCCACAUCAAUAACAGAAUCUCAGGAAAACCAAAGUGGAGUUUACAAUGUUCAUUUUGACACUGUGCAUUAGACUUCUCGACUUCAAGCUACAAAAACCAGCACAGAACCUGGAAAAAUUUUACCUCCUGGCAUUUUUGUUUCUCUACCCUGAUGCUUGUUGUUGAGUUUUACCCAUGCUUUGACCAUCAGCAAAUUGAAGAUACUCAUCACUCACUGCAGAUGUUACUUUAAGACAUUCUGGAGCAGCGUCAUGUGCAGGAGAAAAUAGUAUCAUCUCAGCCUUCUAUGAAAUCAAGGCAAUAUGUCAUAGAAAAAUUAGGGUUACUCACCCCUGUUAUCCCAGUACCAUGUGAAAGUAUAUUCCAAACCCAGAACCUGAGCACAGAUUGGGACUGAGAAACACUUGUCUAGAUUGUCAGGCAAUCUGUAACAUCAGCAGUGGAUGGAAAGAAGGAGAAAGAUGAGUUUUAUGGACGCUAACCCAUCUAUAUGGCUUUGGAAUGCGUAGUGCCUCCGCCCAUCUCUCUCUUGCUCCUGGUCUCAUCGUGACGGGCCUGGUCCUGCCUCACUUUAUGCCACGACUAAGAGCUCCCUGAGGCCUCUCCAGAAGCAGAUAUCACUAUGCUUCCUACACAGCCUGCAGAACCGAGAGUGACAAUAGAAGGUUAAAAAUGAACAAUAAGGAAGUGAGUGCUUUUGUAAUUCCUGAACAACUGUGUCUUACACUUACUAAGGGAUUCAUGGGCAAUAUGACUGAAUAGGAACAGCUCCAGUCUGAAGCUCCCAGUGAGACCAACAUAGAAGGCAAUCUGGGUGUUAUGAAAGAUGUAGACCAACAGAAACACUCAUACCUUUCUGGUGACAAUAAAACUUUGUACAUUUAUUUUGGAAAACCCUAUCUCUUGCCUGCCACCAUGUAAGAUAUGCUUUUACUCUUCCGCCUUCCACCGUGACUGUGAGGCCUCCCCAGCCAUGUGAAACUGCCUUUGAGCUUAUACUGAAUUAUACCACCAGCUUUCCUAGGUCUUGAAGCUUACAGACAGCAGAUCUUGGGACUUCUCAGGCACCAUAAUCAAUCAUGUAAAGAAAAAUCAAAGUAAGAGACGAUAAAUGAUCCAAUGAUUCGGAACUUGAAAAGUGGUAGCUUUAUGAAUUCUCCUUAAGAAGAAACCUGUGCCCUGAUCUUGCCUACUCACCCAAAGGCACUGUGAGGUAGCAUCAAAGGAACAGCUAGUAAGAGACACAGAGCCAGAAAUCAGGGAAGUAAAAUACACUUGACAUCUACGUUCGGAAAGAAAUUUUAGGAGGCAGAAGCAAAUGGAUCAGAAGCUGCUUAUAUUUUUGCAAGAUUACCAAAGAAACCAUUGGUGGAGAAAGUUCUGUGACCAACUUGUCUGAGUCUAGUAAGAUUGAACGCUCACACACAAGUUUCAUGAAGUGGGUUUGAUACUUACAGAUAAGCAGCAAGGACCAACAGAAGCUGAUGAUCUAUGGUGAACUUUUUCCCAAGGCUCCGGAAAGCUGCCUAAAGUAGAUGGAGUCUUCUCUGUGUGUGCCCCACUGGUCCUGCAGUUGAAGGAUCCGGUAAAGCAGCCUGCCCUUGGUUUUAUACUCCAGAGGAACGUGAUUCGCUGGACUAAAGCAUUGAAGUGCAUCCUGUUUCCGGGGGGCACUGGAACAGAGCCUGGUCUGUUCUAGCCAGUCCCUUUCUAUCUCAGGAUAACAUUCUACAGUUAUUCUUGAGAACUAUAAUCAAAUAAGCAGGGAGAACUGGGGGCUCAUUGUGGAACCCUCAAGGAGCAUGGGGUCGUCUUCAUCCCUCAGUUUAUAAAUGGCCAAGGAGAGUAAUGCAACAAAAACUUCUCAGAGUUAAAAGCCAGAGUUCCUAAAGAACCGUGGACAAAGGGUUCUGUCUAGUGGGCAGAAUUCAUCCAGCGAAGGUCUCCUAACUACAGAGGGUCACAUCUGGAUCUGAUGGCACCUACAGAACUUGGACUCUGAGCGACAAUCAGUGACCAGGAAAUUUGGAACCCAGGUUUUCCCAACCUACAUCUACAAAAUGGAAUGGGUCUGAUUCGCAAGUUUUCAGAGAAAGAAGCCAACCUUAAUCAGACUGUGAUAUGAUGAGGAAAUAAAACUUGCUGUGCUAAUCA